rnacentral:rRNA from 1 species
AAUGAACGCCGGCGGCGCGCCUAAUACAUGCAAGUCGAGCGAGAAGACGUAGCAAUACGUUUGUAAAGCGGCGAACGGGUGAGGAAUACAUGGGUAACCUACCCUAGAGUGGGGAAUAACUAGCCGAAAGGUUAGCUAAUACCGCGUACGCUCCUUGGACUUCGGUUCAGGGAGGAAAGCGAUACCGAGGGUAUCGCGCUCUUGGAUGGGCUCAUGUCCUAUCAGCUUGUUGGUGAGGAACGGCUCACCAAGGCUUCGACGGGUAGCUGGUCUGAGAGGACGAUCAGCCACACUGGCACUGCGACACGGGCCAGACUCCUACGGGAGCAGCAGUAAGGAAUAUUGCGCAAUGGGCGAAAGCCUGACGCAGCGACGCCGCGUGGGGGAUGAAGGUCUUCGGAUU